rnacentral:rRNA from 1 species
AACGAACGCUGGCGGCAGGCUUAACACAUGCAAGUCGAACGCAUCCUUCGGGGUGAGUGGCAGACGGGUGAGUAACGCGUGGGAACGUGCCCUUCAGUUCGGAAUAACCCAGGGAAACUUGGGCUAAUACCGGAUACGCCCUUCGGGGGAAAGAUUUAUCGCUGAAGGAUCGGCCCGCGUCUGAUUAGCUGGUUGGUGAGGUAAUGGCUCACCAAGGCGACGAUCAGUAGCUGGUCUGAGAGGAUGAUCAGCCACAUUGGGACUGAGACACGGCCCAAACUCCUACGGGAGGCAGCAGUGGGGAAUAUUGGACAAUGGGCGCAAGCCUGAUCCAGCCAUGCCGCGUGAGUGAUGACGGCUUUAGGGUUGUAAAGCUCUUUCGCACGCGACGAUAAUGACGGUAGCGUGAGAAGAAGCCCCGGCUAACUUCGUGCCAGCAGCCGCCGUAAGAC